rnacentral:tRNA from 1 species
GGAGAUGUGGCCCAGUGGUUGAGUGCCUGAGUUCAAAAUCUAGUACACACACACACACAAAAAAACAAACAAACCUACAACUGUUCUUCAAUUGAUAGCAAGUAAUAUUUCAAUUUAACUAUUAAAAAAACCCUUGAUAGGGCUGCGGACAUAGCUCAGUUGAGGGCUUACCUUGCAUGAGUUCGAUCCCCAGCCUCCCCC